CCGCCGACGGCAGCGAGCGUAGUUGAGGAUCUCAAACUUCGCCGGCGCGUCCUUGGCUCCACGGCUACCGGUAUCGGCGUCAUCAGGCCGCCGUCGCGUCCCUGACCCUACCAGCUUCGGGUGGCAAAAGGAGUGGCGGGGGUCCGGGGCAAGCACGUCAGCGCACCACGGCCCUGCAGCCAGUCUGAGCAGCAGCAACAGAAGUAGCCGCCCUAGGCUAGGACGGAGAGCAGGUAUCCACGAGUCUUCUUCUCCUUUCCCGAUUCGUUUUCAGCUUCAAUCUCUAUUUCUUGACUUGGGUCAAUGUUUAUGUAGUCCACAUCUACGUAGUUCAAGGUGUAUUGGCUGUUUCUUGAUUUCUUGAGUUCCAGAUAUGCAUAGUUGGAUGUAGUGUUUGGUUGAUGUUCUGUCUGAUUCCUGCCGUUUCUAGCAAUUUUGGACAUGUAUUUUACUGCGAACAGGAGUCACAAGAAGGUGAGUUGGAGGAGUGAGCCAAUCAUGAAAGCAAAUAUGGGUUCGACCCACACUGCCUAUUUGGUGAAAUCCAGGUACUUGGGUUCUUCUAUUUUCUGCUUCUCCGCAACUUUGUGUGCAAUAUAUUCAUCUUGGUAAUCGUAUAUGGAGUUUGGAGAGUGUGUAUAUGCAAUACAGAGUGUCAGGUAUUACUUGGAGUGUGGGUAUAUGCAAGGUAUUCUGCGAGUUAUAUUGUUGAUUUAGUAGUUUCUUGCAUAUAUAUGCACUGAUUCUGCUAUUAUGGUUGUUUGUUCCCAGCAUUGGAACAUUUGUAUCUUGCAUUUGCAGGUUAAAUAUUGGGAAGUAUUCUUCUUUACGUGAUAUUGGGCUAUGCUAAGGGAAUUGGUAGCCUGGGGUUCGGCUCUCCGUCACCAACAACCAGUGUGCUCCUUUUUUGCUCCGCCAUGCUGCAGACUUCUUCAAGGUUCACACCCAACUAUUGAUAACAAAAGAAUUCUUAAGAAGAUAUCGUUGACUGCCGUGGAAAGAGACUUGAAUACUAGAUGAUUGAUUCGAGAUUAACUGUUGGGGAUGCUUUCUUAAUUAUGUGUGUUUGAUUUCCCUUCCAUGCAGUACAGAACGAGCAUCGUCUGUAUAAUAUUGGGCAUGUUCGGUUUUUUCUGCAAUCUUGGAUGAUAUUUACCAAGGGUUGUUUGUUUGUUUACUAAGAUGAUAUUUGCUCACUUUACCAGUAAGAAGAAUGAUUUCUACUCAUAGGGUGCUUCUUUCUUUCCUUUGGCAAAAAUUACAUGCCAGGGAACCUAUUUUUCCUCCAUUGUGAUUUGUCGAUGCAGUCAUUAUAGUUUAAUCUCCCUUGGUACUUUAUUUAGGGCCUUAGGGCUACAAGGAGAUGUGGUGUGCCUAUCCUUUUAGAUCAAUUAAUCCGAUGGCGAUUUUUUUGCUGUAUCUCUUCUGUUAGUGCAUAAAUUUCAUUAGAUCAAAAUUCUACUUGCUAUUUUUCUGCUUCAUAGCUUUCUAAAGUGGCCGGCUUCACAAGAUAGAAAAUUCAGUUGUCGCCGGAAUUUGAAUGAAAAGAUUGUUUCAUGAAGUAAACUUAUAAGAAAAUAGGACCGUAAGAGCAUAUUACAUAUAAUACUGAAUAAAUAUAUGAUCUGCUAUUUUACUUUAAUCCGUAGUAACUAUUCGUGAUUAUUUCAGGAGUGGCGAGUUUUCCUUUCUUUCCCGUUGCAAGAGCUGUUGUGUAUCGUCGCAAGGGGAAGCUUAUUCAAAAGGAUUGUGUUUCUGUUAAAAAGUUCUGCUCUGCAUCUCUUACCUUUCUCUAUCGCGUAGUGAUUUCCUCUGUUCUUCACUGAAUCGUCAUGGUUUUAGUUCAUUCACAGGACGGUUCCCUGACUGUCAAUUUCCUUUGUUCAAUAAAUGGUGAAUUUUCUGAAAUGUUAUAUAUUUUCAUGUUUUCGUUCACGCCUUUGCUUUUAGGAUAACUGAUGUUUUUCAGCUUUUUUGUCCCAGCUGAGACAUCUUAUGGUUGUUCUGUUGUUGUGUGGGUUUUACAACUGGUCGAAGAUUAGUUGAUCGAUAAUGACGAUAUAUACACCACGAUAUAUCUGUGCACAUUGGAUCACCUAAUAGAUACCUACUAAUUAUUUGCAUAUUCAAUUGUUCCAAGAAUUUUCACUUAUGUUCGCGAAGAAUGGGCAUCUUUUAGUAGUUGUGAAGAGUCCAUUCCUACUAGAGAACUAGGCUACAUUUUGGAAAAGCAACAUUACGACAAAAAUAUUUUAAGGAAAAAAUAUCUUCUCUUUUAAUAAUUGAAACAGCAUAUGUUUUUUACUAGGAGAAAGUGCAAGCCCGUACUACUGGAUCUAAUUCUACCUUGGUACUUUAGUUAUGGCCUUACACUGCCAUCUACAAUCAAUGAAUCAAAUAAUAUCAGCUAUUCGGUAAUUCAGUAGGCGAGGUCUUCAUGUUAUAUCAGCCCAUGUGCAGAAGGUCUACAGGGAAUAUAUUUUUACAGAAUUCUACUGUUACAUAUUUAUGAGCUCGUGCCCGUAUACUCUCAUCGUAUUUAGGUUACCAUCUUUAUACGUUCUUAGCUACGUGCACUGCAAUGUUGUGUUUUUUAAUGACUGUAUUAUUAUGUAACUGCCUUGCAGGGUUGCUGACUAAUUUUAAUUUGCAUUCAAUAAAAGUGGAAUAUUUAUUCUCUAAGCAAUCAUGCAUAUGUAAUUAUAUGUUAUAUACUGGGAUUCACAAACCUGUAGAGAUGUGAUGUUCUCUGAGAGUUUCUUCAGCCAUGGAUGUUGACUGAAGUUGCAAACCGAGGUUGUGGUUGGAACUCAGAAGUAGAAGAACAUCAGUUUGGCUGCUGAAGUCCUUUUCAGAACCUUUCACCUGAUUAAAAUGUCCAGGCUAAGAAAAAAAAGGAUGGAUGGAAUGGAUUCUUCUUGAUGAGAUAGCCGAACUGCCUCUAUGCAGAGUGGAAUCUCAUAAACAAAAGAAUAAACAAGAAGGAAUUGCUUCCAGGUGGCGGCAGCGAUGAUAGUUUUUGGAGAUGCACAUGUUCAAGAGCGUGAAUGGAUAAAACCAAGAGGACGCAUUAUUCCCUAUUUAGAACUUCUUUUCCAUGACUGUGUUGCUUUUAACAAGUUAUGACUAAGUUCGACGAAAUAGUAAUAUAGUUGGUAAUAUACAAUUAUGGAGUGCUUUAGAUAAAUCUGGUCACUCCCAUAAUUAUUCAUUGGAGCAAAUGUUGUGGCUGAGUUUGUAUCGUCUUCAGGGAAUAUCUUAGUAUUAUGUAUGAGCUGUUUAUUGCCCUCUUUUAUUGUAGAGAGGUUAAGCCUGGGAUGCUUCAGAUCAAAUGUUUUCUUAGUGACUCA